AGCGGAAGGGGGCAAUCUAAGAAUGCCACGUCCUGGGACUGCGCUAGCUCGUCCCAUCGAAAACAUUUGUGGCAACGAUUGCAUGACCAACGUCCUGUUGG
rfam:Virgibacillus sp. SK37, complete genome.